rnacentral:rRNA from 1 species
CCUACGGGUGGCAGCAGUGAGGAAUAUUGGUCAAUGGGCGGAAGCCUGAACCAGCCAAGUCGCGUGAGGGAUUAAGGCCCUGCGGGUCGUAAACCUCUUUUGCCGGGGAGCAGAGGUCCGGACGUGUCCGGGCCGGGAGAGUACCCGGAGAAAAAGCAUCGGCUAACUCCGUGCCAGCAGCCGCGGUAAUACGGAGGAUGCGAGCGUUAUCCGGAUUUAUUGGGUUUAAAGGGUGCGUAGGCGGGCAUUUAAGCCGGCGGUCAAAUGUCGGGGCUCAACCCCGGCCAGCCGUUGAAACUGGGGAUCUAGAGUGUGCGAGAGGUAUGCGGAAUGCGUGGUGUAGCGGUGAAAUGCUUAGAGAUCAUACAGAACACCGAUUGCGAAGGCAGCUUACCAAGCUACUUCUGACGUUGAGGCACGAAAGCGUGGGGAGCAAACAGGAUUAGAUACCCUGGUAGUC